GAGCGGACAGAUGGGAGCUUGCUCCCUGAUGUUAGCGGCGGACGGGUGAGUACACGUGGGUAACCUGCCUGUAAGACUGGGAUAACUCCGGGAAACCGGGGCUAAUACCGGAUGGUUGUUUGAACCGCAUGGUUCAAACAUAAAAGGUGGCUUCGGCUACCACUUACAGAUGGACCCGCGGCGCAUUAGCUAGUUGGUGAGGUAACGGCUCACCAAGGCAACGAUGCGUAGCCGACCUGAGAGGGUGAUCGGCCACACUGGGACUGAGACACGGCCCAGACUCCUACGGGAGGCAGCAGUAGGGAAUCUUCCGCAAUGGACGAAAGUCUGACGGAGCAACGCCGCGUGAGUGAUGAAGGUUUUCGGAUCGUAAAGCUCUGUUGUUAGGGAAGAACAAGUACCGUUCGAAUAGGGCGGUACCUUGACGGUACCUAACCAGAAAGCCACGGCUAACUACGUGCCAGCAGCCGCGGUAAUACGUAGGUGGCAAGCGUUGUCCGGAAUUAUUGGGCGUAAAGGGCUCGCAGGCGGUUUCUUAAGUGUGAUGUGAAAGCCCCCGGCUCAACCGGGGAGAGUCAUUGGGACUGGGAACUGA
rnacentral:rRNA from 1 species